rnacentral:lncRNA from 1 species
GCUGCAAAUCCCUCCCACUCACCAAACUGCUGCCGCCUGCAAUUCCACAAUGAGCACUUUAGUCAUCAAAUCAUAAAAUGUCAGCUUGUAAUUAGCCUUGGAACCUGUCUAGUUCAAUUUCCCAGCUCAGAGUGCUCUUGGAAGAUACCUGAACGGGCCCUUUAUUUUAGAGUGAAUUAGUGGCAGAGCUGGAACUCGAGUCUGACCCUGCACAGUGAAGGACGCUAGAGGCAUCUGCAGCUUCUUCAAUGGGAAGUUUCCUCAUCUGGAAAAAGUGAACAGCGAUACCACGUCCCAGGGUUAAGAGGAGGAUCCAUCGAGAUGGGGAAGAGUCUGCAUAUAGCAGCAGCUGCAGAAGUUAUAUUCGUUGGGGCAUCAUAUGCCUUUUUGAAAUUAUGUGUAUUGGUAGGUUAUAUGAUGUGUGAAUUUUCUUGGAAGAUAAAGAAAAAAAGUAAAAUGAUGUUGGAUCCAAUGGGACCAAGAGCCACCAGCACAGUGGAUAGAAACAAAGGCCCUGUACUGAAUCCUGCCCUGCCUCCUAAUUAGCUAGGACCUUGCAUAUGAGCAUGAACAUCAGCUCUUA